rnacentral:piRNA from 1 species
UUAUUUUUUUUCUGGUCUGAG